rnacentral:rRNA from 1 species
AAAACGACUCUCGGCAACGGAUAUCUCGGCUCUCGCAUCGAUGAAGAACGUAGCGAAAUGCGAUACUUGGUGUGAAUUGCGUAAUCCCGUGAACCAUCGAGUCUUUGAACGCAAGUUGCGCCCCAAGCCUUCUCGGGCCGAGGGCACGUCCGCUCGGGUGUCACAA